rnacentral:rRNA from 1 species
GGGCUUGACAUCCCACGAACCUGCCUGAAAGGGCGGGGUGCCCGCAAGGGAGCGUGGAGACAGGUGGUGCAUGGCUGUCGUCAGCUCGUGUCGUGAGAUGUUGGGUUAAGUCCCGCAACGAGCGCAACCCUCACCCCUUGUUGCUACCAGGUAAAGCUGGGCACUCUAGGGGAACUGCCCCGGUCAACGGGGAGGAAGGCGGGGAUGACGUCAAGUCAUCAUGCCCCUUACGUCCUGGGCUACACACGUGCUACAAUGGCCGGUACAAAGGGAUGCCACACCGCGAGGUAGAGCUAAACCCAAAAAGCCGGUCUAAGUUCAGAUUGGAGUCUGCAACUCGACUCCAUGAAGGAGGAAUCGCUAGUAAUCGCGUAUCAGCACGACGCGGUGAAUACGUUCCCGGGCCUUGUACACACCGCCCGUCACACCACGAAAGCCAGCUGUACUCGAAGUCGCUGAG